CUAAGAAGGAUACAGUGGCUAGAAGUCGUCCUGUCGUCCUGCCUCACAGUAACAUCGUUACCGAAUUCUCAGCAGGUGAACCAAAUGAAAUGGUCAACUGAAAGCCAACCAGGGGUCUUGUCCUGUCACUCUGGCUGGAAUACAAUGGCGUAAUCAUAGCUCACUGCGGCCUCCAUCUCCUGGGUUCAAGUGAUUCUCCUGCUUCAGCUUCCCAAGUAUCUGGGACUACAGCAAAAAAUCACCAUGUACCAACCUAUCCAAACUUAUCCAUGGAUGAAUCUAUCCAGAAGACGGGAGUUCCGAUGCUUGUCUUGCUCUGAAUGUCUGCUUGUCACCUGCUUAGGGUUAUCGACUGUGAUUCUGGGACUCAUUGUUGUU
rnacentral:lncRNA from 10 species